rnacentral:ncRNA from 1 species
CACUCUGGAGACGCCUGCGCGCAGCAGGGGCCGAAGGGGCAAGCGCUUUUGCGCGAAUCUCUCAGGCAAAAGGACAGAGCC